AGAGUUUGAUUAUGGCUCAGAACGAACGCUGGCGGCAGGCCUAACACAGUGCAAGUCGAGCGCGCCUUCGGGGUGAGCGGCGGACGGGUUAGUAACGCGUGGGAACGUACCCUUUGGUAGGGAAUAGCCACUGGAAACGGUGAGUAAUACCCUAUGAGCCCUUCGGGGGAAAGAUUUUAUCGCCAAAGGAUCGGCCCGCGUUAGAUUAGGUAGUUGGUGGGGUAAUGGCCUACCAAGCCUACGAUCUAUAGCUGGUUUUAGAGGAUGAUCAGCAACACUGGGACUGAGACACGGCCCAGACUCCUACGGGAGGCAGCAGUGGGGAAUCUUGGACAAUGGGGGCAACCCUGAAUUCCAGCCAUGCCGCGUGAGUGAAGAAGGCCUUAGGGUCGUAAAGCUCUUUCGCCUGUGAAGAUAAUGACGGUAGCAGGUAAAGAAACCCCGGCUAACUCCGUGCCAGCCGCCGC
rnacentral:rRNA from 1 species